UCAAAAAGGAUAUUGAAAUUAUCUCGAUUACAUUAAAUACUUAAUUCGAAUUUUUUAUUUCAAACCAAGAAGAUUCAAAGAUGUAAGAAGUUGGAAAUAUAGGACACAUUUCCAAAUUACUCGAUCAAAUUCUUCUUUUUCAAAAAUUUCACAAAAUCUUCCUCUCGAAAAAUCAGAUUAUUUAAUUCUUAAUAGGUUUGUUUCGUCGUGGAAAGAAAAGUCUCGCGAUUAAAUGAAAGGAGCAAUAAAGAUCGGCAAGAAUAGGUCGCCAAAACAAUCGAGCUUCCAACCCAGAGAGUUUUGUUCCAAAUUACUUAACGAGUCUUGGAGGCUAUAAACGGAACAAGUUGCGCAAUAUCCAUUGGCCCGGCAAAUAAAAGUUGCUAAGCCUUAACACUUGCAGCAUUAGUUGGUUGCAGAGUUUGACCGCAGGCUUAGCCACGACGGAUAAAGAUCGCUGGGAAACCUCUGCUUGUUUAUGGCCGAGUUAUUGCAACGAGUUAUCUUCAAGCAACUUCCAACAGAUCAUUUUCUCUUUCUCUUCUUUAAUUCGUCGAAAAAAAUAUCGUGAAGAAGAAGAGAUGGAUAAAUGAAUAAAUAUCGAAAGUUCAUUGUUCGAAUCUGUUAAAUCACAAGAAAUCCGUUUGUUUUCCAAGAGAUGUUUGUGGAAGACGAGAUAUUUAUCCAAAAGGAUAAAAUAGAAAUUCGAAAUGAACCAAGUUUCCGUGGAAAAUGUAAAGCAAAUGUAAAUUGUAAGAUCUCCAGACUUGAAAAGAGAUGCUGAACAGGAUAAAUUAAAUUUUGAAGAUUUUCAAGUAAAAGAAUACCCUGUUUUUAAUAUAACGAUAUGUGCGAGAAUUUAAGAAUUUAAUUUAAAAAGAAAUAUUUAAAAAUUCAAAGAUUUAAAUUAAAAUAUCCAAAGUUCAAGCGUAAGAUUUAAACGUUGAAAAAUUCUAGAAAAUCGAACCUGCCAUCCAUGAAGAUUCAUUCAAAUUCAUUCGCAAAGACCUUCCUUCGAUCCUCCCCCCAAUAUUAUCACGCAGAGAAACGAACAACAGUGUCGUGGACGAUAUGGUUACGUUUUGAGAAAGCGGAGAUGUUAUACGAUACAUUUAUCUCGAUCGCGGCAAAUUCGAGGUAUGCCAUCCCGGUGAAUCUGGUGGCCCUGAAACACGCCGAAUGGAACAAGGGGCGACGCGUUCAGAAGGGCACGUUCCUUAACCGCCACUCGACAAAUUUCCCAACUACUCGAGGAACGUUUCAGAGUUCUCCUAGGCCCUCAGCUAUUUCUGAGGGGCAGACCAUGGAAUCGAUCGUCGAAUCGUCUUCGAUCAACAAGUUGACGAAUAUUAUAUAGCGAGCUCCAGUUUGAAAUUUAUUAGCAAUUUGUUGAAAUGGAAAAGUGUUGCUUCCAUGACGUUCUAUCUAUCUCGUCUGCACGAGAAUGACAAGAAUAAUAAGACAAGAAUAUAAGACAAGAUCGAAGAAAAGAUUGUUGCAAAAACAGGAGAAUUAUUGUAAUGGAGUUGUAUGUGAAUAGUGUAACGGUUAAACUUAACAGAAGCAACAUUUUAGAGUUUCAAGAUACAUUUUGUUCCUCAGACAUUCCUCCUGGGGGAAUUUUCUGAACCAGAAUUCUAAUAUCCAGGAGUUGGGCAGAGUUUUAACAAUUUUCUCAAACAAGGAAGGAGAUGAUAAGGCGUAGAACAAAGUUUGCAAAAAUUUUACUUCGUUGCGUGAUUUAGAUUCGCUAAAGGACGAAAGCUGAUAUAAACCGAUUGUUCUAACCAACAAUAGAUGUAAAGGAAACGUAUAGAUUAUACACGUCAAAAUUAUGAGUUACAACCUCUAAUAUUACUCUAACAAUAAAAUUAUCGUCGAUAAUAUAUAAGUAUUAAACAUUAUCUUCAAACAUGGAAUAAAUCAAGGCUAAUAAAAUAUUUAUUAAACUAUUCUGCUUACAUCCAGGAUAUAUAAAAAAAAUAAAAAAUUAAACGUUGCAUAUCCUUUGAAAAAUAUUAAUAUCAUAUAAUUAACAUGACAUUUUAUUUUUCAGGUUCCAAAUAAUUAUAUUAGAAGAGAACGAUUAAAAUUAUUUCAACGAAUGAGAAACGAAUGAGUGUUAAUUUUCGAAACUAUUAUUGAUAUAAACUUCCCUCUCUGCUGAAAUAAAAAAAAUUCCUCGAGAAUUAAUUAAUUUGCUUUUAAAAUAAACCAACCAACCAGCCGAGAUACUUUCCCGAGAUAUCUCUUACUUAAAUAUUUAUUAUUUUAAUGAAAAUGUAGUUGCAACCCCCUCACCUCAGAGAGAAUUUAUCAAUUCUCCUUUUUUCUUUUUUUUUUAACAUCGUUAUAUCUCCAACUAACGCCCCGUUUAUUUCUUUUAGACAUAAACAAGACAAGAAAUUGCCGCCAUCGAGAAAUUACGCCACCUGAGAGAUUGGGCGUAUAAAUCUGUAUCAAAGCUUGUCCACGGCUCAUACGGAUCAUGUAUGGGAAACUGGUCUCAUCGUUAAGAAAUUCCCAAAGCGAAUUGUGAUGUGGAAAAUACGUGUGGAAAAAAGAAAUAAUGUGAAUGAAAAUUGUAUUCGUAUCCUCAUUUUAAAAUUUAAUCAAAAUAUUGUCUUUUCGCAGGGAAAAAAAAUCUCGUAUUAUAAAUUUGAAAACGGAUGUUCAAAAAAAAAUAGGUUGCAAAGGGAAAAAUAAUUUCAUUAUUUGAAACGUAAUAAUGAUAAAAUAAUGAUAAUAUAACGUUUGAUAUGACAAUGUAUGAUACACAGAGAACAUAAUUUUUACCAUUUUUCACCAUUUUUAUUAAAUAUCGUUGGUAAUGAAAUUUAAGCGAAAAGGAAAAACGAGAAACAUAAUUAAAUAAAAACGUUCGGAUUUAUCACUUUUGGAAUAUUCACAAGGAUAUGAUAUAUAUAACUCGAAGAAUGAAAAGGAAAAAAGAAAAAUAUCAACUACCUACUGAAACUUUCGAUAAAAAAAAAUUAAAAGAAGCUAAAAGCUUCUAAAAUUAUAAUGUAAAAAGAAGAUUAACAUCAUUUCCAUUCCAAUGAAUAACUCUCGUAUUUAAAUUCCCUAAGUAUAAAAUAAAUUUCUUGGGAAAGAAGUUGAGAAAGAUCGAGAGGAGAAGAAUUGUAGCGUAUUAAAAUACGAUGCAAAGGAGGGAGUCACGGGAGACGAUAUCAAAAAUGACACUCGCUAUCGUAUGCAUCACACCUAAUAUUCCUGGCUCCAUUUCGUGGAGGGCCGUUUUAACCGUCGAUCGUUUAUCAGAGCUCGUAAAUCAAAUAACCGAUACCCUCGUGGAAAUGCAAAAUGGCGAUGAAGUGGAGGAAUGAUGGUUCCUCGCGAAAACGAUUGAAACUCCUUUUUUUUUUUUUUUUCGAAGGAAAACCAUAGCCGAUUUAUUCGCUCGAUAAGACAGCUCGCGAGAUGCUUGUUAUCGGUCGAACCGUCAUUUUUUACCCGCGAAAUACAAGGUUUUACGGAGGAGAUCGUUGGCGAAUUUGUUGAGAGAGGAUACGUGAUUUAGGUUAGUUUUAGGUGAUUGAGAGGAGUUCGUGUGAUUUUAGAUUGGUUAAAUAUUUGAUUAUUCCUCGAGGGGAGAGCGUAUCGAUUUUCAUGAAAUUUUACGAAUAGCCGAGGAAUUUAGAAAUGUUUUAUUUGAUAUCGGAUGGAAUUCGGAUCGGAUUCGAAUGGUAGGAAAUUUAUGGAAUAUUCAGUUUCGAAUAUUUAUACAGGAUAAUAAACGUUAAAGUAUUAACUUUUUGCGGUUGUGCGUUCAACAUGUUAUUUCAUUUGUUUCUCUGUUCUUAAACAUACAAGAUAUCUGUUUGCGAUACGAUUUGAUAUUUUUAUUUCUAAAUUUAAAUUUUGAAAGUUAUCUUGUUAGAAACUCGUUGAGAUAUGUUCGUAGAAAGAAUUGUGGAAUAGAACAAUAUAGUUUUAAAAUUAGAAUAAGAAGGAUAAGAAGUUGUGAUAAAAUUAAUUCAAAAAUUUCCUAUUUAUUACGAAUAUAACGCGCAUAACUUCGACCAAUUAAAAUACUUGGCGAAACGUAGAAAUUUUGCAGUCAAACAAUUUGACACAAUAAUUGGCGUUUCUCCUACUUUCUAAAUAUGGCAUUUACACUCCUAACGAAUAUUAGUUCAGCCCUUUUAACCAAUCAUUCCGUGCAUUCAUUCCUUAGUCAAUUCGAUACAGUUCAUUGAAAUGGAGCUCUAUCAUGAUUUAUUAACGCCUACGUUUUCGCUCUUUAGUCACAAUCUCCCCCACGUUAACGCAAUCGACGUUAAUAAUCCAGUUGCGCAACAUCUCUAUUCAUUUUUAACUUCAGAAUAAAUAUCCUGUACGAUUUAAAAUUUUGAUAAAUUUUUUCAAUAAUUUCAACGUUAUAAAAUUACAAUUGAUAUCGAUGGAAUCGUUAAAAUCGUUUCAGAUUUCCAGGCAUUAAGAUCUUUAAGAUUUUCUAACGCGAGUUUCUAAAAAUUCCUCGACUUAGAUUUUAAAAUCCCUUUAAAAUAACAUCUAUUUCAAAGUUCUUCCAUGUUAUAAUAAAUUCCUAGAACGAAUUAAUUUAAAAUUUCCAAUUAGACUUUUAUCGAUUCUUCUAAUCAAUCCAAAGAUUUGCUGUAAAGAUUUGAUGUAAUCCCUCUCUAGAAUAUUCGACUCGUUAAAAACUGAUUUUACAAUCCUCGUGAUACCUCAAGAUUGAACUCUGAUGCAAAGUUUCCAAAUGAAAAUGUCUACCGAGACAUUUCACAAUUUUAAAAUCAUUCCACGCGAAUAUUUGACAAAUUUAAUCUCGUGGCUUAUCUCUCCAACUCGUGAUAAUACAAUCACGAAUAUUUACUAUGAAUUUCUAAUAUAUGUAUACACUUGGUUUGUUUAUUCCUAUUGUACUUUUUUCCCAUAGUAUCGGGAUGCUGCGUUCCAAAAGCUUUCAAAGGGAUGAAACAGGGAUGCUGUGGAUGCACAACCCUUGGCCGGUUCCUCUUUUCGAUCAGUGUCUGCGGGGCUAAUUAUGCUAAACGGUGGGGCAAAGUUGUUGGUCAAAGCGAGGCAACAUAAGACGUAAGAGGAAUGAAAGCGGAGGCAAUAUCCUUUGGACGGAUUGAAAUUCCUUGAGCGUAAACGGUGUGGACGAAGAAUCGAUCAGUAUUCAGAACUGGAUAUUAAUUUCCGGGAGAGCAAUGCCGUUACAGAAAUUUUUAUUUCGCGCCCCUAUCGAUCGAGUGAAAUUUUAGAGAAGGGUGAUAACGAUAAUGGUCCACUCAAUUGAAUAAACAGAUAAUCUUUCCUAAUUUUCUCUCAUCCCUUGCUCGAGUUUAUAUAGAUUCAGGAUUUUAAAAUUCUAGGGAUAUUAAUUAAAAACUGUUCUAUCUCCGAAUUCUUUAUCAUUUCCUUUAUGCGGUGAAAAUAUCUGAUGAUUUGAUUUAGUUGUUAAUGAAAUAAUAUGAUAUCCUUGAUGAUAUAUUACGUAAAAAAAAUGUAAUUUUAUAUUUUGGACUUUUGUCGAAAAAAAGAAAUGAAUCUG